GCGCCGGUGGCGAAAUUGGUAGACGCACCUGGUUUAGGUCCAGACGCCUUCGGGUGUGAGGGUUCGAGUCCCUCCCGGCGCACCA
rnacentral:tRNA from 1 species